UAUGUUAGCCAAAGUUUCCAGAUUAUAUUUGUUAAUAAUCUGAAGUAGAAUAAUUUUGGAUAUUUUAAGUAAUUUUCUCGAUUUUAAAAUCGAUUAGUUUACGAAAGGACCUAAAUGGUCAAUUUUGAAAAGUUUGAGGAUAUUUUAGUAUUUUAACCAAAAGAGGAAUUUAAGCCAAUAAGGGGCUGUUUUAAUUAUCUUAUGGAAUGGUUAGACCCAAUAUUGAAAGUAAAUCCGAAUUUUAAUAAUUAAAAUAUUAUUAAUUAGUUCGGUAAUUAAUGGAAUAAGGGUAAUGUGAUAAAAGGGAAAUAUGGUAAUUUGAUUAGUUUAGUGAAACUAAUUAAAGAGAUAAAAAAAAAAGAAUUAUUUGUGAUUAAUUAUGAAAGGCCAUAGAUGUGGAAUGAACCUUGAAUUUAUUUCAAGUGUUUUCCUGAAUCGAACCCAAUAGAGUAGGUUCGUAAUUCUCGAAUAGUCGAGAAUGAGAAGGAAUUGUGAAUCGGUUACGUUGAAAUAACGACCGAAAAUGAUAGUGUUUUGUGAAAAGUUUUUAAUGUGAUGAUUGUUUGUAUACGAUAUGAUAUCGUAUUUAUGUGGCUACGUGUUUAGAGGUCGGUAAUAGAUUUAGAAUUCUAUUUUGAAAUCGACUUAACACGAUUCCUGAAUAUAGAUGUGACGGAAAGUCAACUAUUGACGGAUCAAAUUGAAGGAGCACCGGUUGGAAUAGACCGAGUGGCUAAUAGUGGAUCAUCGUGGCGUAUUUAAUUAUUUAUGGAGCGACAGUCUGAAUAUUGCCUGUGUCUGGACAAGACUUCAUCUUUUUGAUUCUUGAAGUCUUCAUUUUGCGUAUAUGGUAAUUGGUCUUAUUUUGAUCUGUAGAGCUGCAGUAGAAUAGAUAGACAGACGCCUUAGCAUGUCAGUAUUUGCGAUGUCUGCCACGCAUGAACUCUGUUUUGUUUUCAUCGCACGAUUAUAAUAUAUUUUAACGACAUGCAUUAAGGUAAUGGAAAAUAGUUGCAACCCGGGUACACGGUAGUACCGGGAGUUUUGAGAUACAGUGUAAAGGAAACUGUACGCAACUAUGUUAUGUGUAUAAUAUGGGGCCCAGCGUGGCUAUAUGCAUGAUUGCAUAUUAUCGGUUUUGUAAAAGACGGUAUUUGAGGAAUACGCGUUAAAACGAUAACCAGUAAUUGAAAAGUAACGGUUUUAAUUUAA